AGAGAUUCUGCUAAACAUGCCCGAAUGCUCCAAUUAACUAAAUCAUAGCAUCUCUCACUCAAUCCUAACUAGUUCACUUUGCUGCUCAAAAUAACCAUAAAAGGGGAACUCAGAAAACAACCCAAAACAUGUUUAAAAUGAUGCAAAAAGAAACAUACCCAUGAAUUGAUCAUAAAAGAAAUUCUAUAAACAACUCAAAAUAGCCGAAAGAACGCAAAUAGAAACAUACCCAUGAACAUACCUAGUGUAGUACCACAAAGUGGAGUCUAGGGAGGGUAAAGUGUACGUAGACCUUACCCCUACGUCAUGAGUAGAGAGGUUGUUUCCGAUAUACCCUCGACUCCAGAAAAAAAAAACAGUCCAAAGCGUUCCAAAAGAAGUAAAGGAAGCGAAAGCAUAACAAAGCCUACUGAGCAGUAACUACAAUAAAUUUUAUGAUAAUCAAAGAACACGAAACAGCCAAAGUAAUCAGAAAUUGAAGGUAAGAAACUACAUAAGCAAUACUACAACUAUAGUAUGGACAGAUAGUGAGACAAUGCACUAUUAAUUACUAAUCUUCUAUGCCAAUCCAUGUCAUCUACAACCUCCCAUCUAAUAAAAUCAUGUCCUUGAUAAGUUGAAACCGUGUCAUAUCAUGUCUAAUCACUUCUCCCCCAAUACUUCUUCGGUCGACCUCUUCCUCUCCUGAAACCAUAACCACCCAUAUCCAACCCCUCACACCCAUACCCAUGAAGUAUUCAUCAGGAAAAAAACUCUUCAAACAACCCAAAAAAGGUUCAAAAUUUGCAAAAAGGAACAUACGGUAAUCAUCAGAAAAAACUCCAAACAAACCAAACAAGGUUCAAAAUUUGCAAAAAGGAAACAUACCCAUUAACCAAUCAUAAGAAGAAACUCCACAAACAACCCAAUAAACUUCAAAAAAGGAAACAUACCCAUAAGAGCAGCUUCAAGAAUUUGAUGAGCAAGAAGGAUUUGAUCAGUAGGAUUUACAGAAUCAGCAGGACGAGACUGCAAUUCCUUAAUAGAAUAAACAGUAUAAAUCAUGAUCACAAGAACAGUAGCUGCUACAGAUUUAACAAUCAACGGUCCACUGCCUCUUUUAACACGAUCAAGAGUCAUAAUUAUCAGUUUCCUCAAAGGGGUUCUAAACAGAAACAUCAAAAUCAACCCCAUUUCCAAGAACACCACCAUGAACAAAAGCUGAACUUGAGCUAACAUUUUGCAUACACCACCAAAUUAACUCCUUUUUUUUCUGUGAUUCAAAAAUUUCACCAAAAGGGGUUUUUCUUUACUGGUUAAGAAAGAUUUUUGUACAAGAAAGUUUGAUUAUUGGUGGAAAAGGGUGUUGAUUUUUUCAGAAAAAACGGUGAAUAGAGUGUACAGAUGGUGUUGAUUCUGUAUAUGCACUUGGUUUUUUGUGUCACGCGGCCUUUACGCCUGCAGAAGACUUGUAUGGAAAAAGACUAGCGUCGGCAAGACCUGUCCUUUUUCUUUCUUUUUUUAAUCUAAAAUUUGUAAUUUUAAAACAAAAUUUCAUAUUGGAAAACAUAUUUCAUUUUGUUCAAAGAUCUAAAUAUAUAUAUAUAAAAUUGGCAUGAUCAAACAUGCUCGAGAGUGUCAAAAUAUCUUUACACGUUAUUUCUAUCUCUCAUUACAUAGCACUCAUUUCUGGAUCAUAUUGACAAUAUUCUUAGCGUUGAGAAAAUUUCCACAUUCUUUCCAUCCAUUACUAAUAGCAUAUUCAAGAGUCUUCUUUAGUCAAUGAUAUUUUUGUGAUGUGAUUUUUCGAUAUAUUUUUUUUCAAAAGCUUUACAACACUCUCCGUAAUGACCCAAGGAAACAAUACAAAUAGUUUCACCAUGAUACAUACUAUUUUUUAGCAUUUAGGGGCCUUUCAAAAGGAAUUAGACGAUUUUCUCAAUUUGUCGUGUGUAUUAGUCAAUGAAGUUUUUGGUGAUAUGAUUUUUGAGUACUUUAUUUUCAAAACCUUUACAUGACCCUCUGUAAUGACAUAGGGAGACAAUACGUAUAGUCUCACCGUGAUCCACACCAUUAUUUUAGCAUUUAGGGGGACAAUCAACAGAAUUAGGCAAUUUUCGCGAUUUUUUCAUAUGUGUUAGUCAAUGAUUUUUUUGUUGACAUGGUUUCAGACACUUUUUACCAGAAUCUUUACAGACCCCUGUAGUGACCUUGGGGGAACAAUACAUAUAGUCUCACUAUGAUCCACGUCAUUUUUUUUAGCAUUGAGGGGCCACUUAACAGGAAUUAAGUGAUUUCUUAAUUUUUCGUGUGGUAGUUGAUGAAUUUUUCGGUAAUAUGAUUUUUCAAUACUUUUUUUCCAAAACAUUUACAGGAUCAUCCGUAAUGAUCGAGGGGACAAUAAUUAUAGUCUCACCAUGAUUCAUGUCAUUUUUUAGCAUCUAGGGGUCACCCAACAUGCAUUAAGCGAUUUUCUCAAUUUUUCGUGUGUGUUAGUAGUCAAUGAAUUCUUUGGUGAUAUGAUUUCUAGGCAUUUGUUUUCCAAAUCUUUACAAGACCCUAUGUAAUUACCUGGGGGAACAAUACGUACAGCCUGACCAUGAUUUACUCUAUCAUUUUAGCAUUUAAGGACCACUCAACAGGAAUUAAGCGAUUUUCUCAAUGUUUUAUGUGUGUUGGUCAAUAAAUUUUUUGGUGAUAUAUAUGAUUUUUUAGCACCUUUUUUCUAAAAUCAUUGCAUGACCCUCCGUAACUACCUAGGAAACAAUAUGUAUAGCCUCACCAUGAUUCAUAUCCCUAUUUUUUGUUUUAGGGGUCACUCAAUAGGAAGUAAGCGAUUUUCUAUGUACUUCAUGUGUGUUAAAGAAAAUCUUUACAAAACCCUACGUCAUGAUCUGGGGUAAAAUACGUGUAGAAUCACCUUGAUCCACGUCGUUUUUUAACAUUUAGGGUCGCUCAACAUAAAUUAGACGAUUUUCUCAGUUCUUUUGUGUGUUAGUCUAUGAAUUUUUUGAUGCUAUGGUUUUUGGGCACUUUUGCUCUAUACAUUUACAUGACCCUCCGUAAUAAUCUAAGGGAAUAAUACGUAUACCCUUACCAUGAUCAAUGUCAUUUUUUAGCAUUUAGGGGCCACUCAAUAGGAAUUAGACAUUUUUUUUUCAAUUCUUUUUGUGUUUUACUCAAUGAAUUUUUUGGUGAUAUGAUUUUCGAUUUUUUUAAAAAUCUUUACAGGACCAUCUGUAAUGACCUGUGAGAGAAAUACGAUAGUAUCACCAUGAUCCACACAAUUUUCUAGCAUUUAGGUGUCACUCGACAGGAAUAGACAAUUUUCUCAAUUUUUCAUGUGUCAGUCAAUGAAUUUUUUGGUGAUAUAAUUUUUGGGAACUUUUUUUCCCAUAAUCUUUACAAGACCCUCCAUAAUAAUCUGGAGAAACAAUAAGUAUAGCCUCACCACGGUUCACAUCAUUUAUUUUAACAUCUAGGGGCCACUCAGCAUGAAUUAGACAAUUUUCUUAUUUUAUUUCUUAUGUGUUGUUAGUAAUGGACUUUGAUGAUAUGGUUUAUGGAAAAAAAAAUUGCAAAAUAUUUUACAGGACCCUCUGUAAUGACCUGAGGAAACAAUACGUAUAGACUCACCAUGAUUCACAUCACUUUUUUAGCAUUUAAGGGAACUCAAUAAGAAUCAGACAAUUUUCUCAUUUUUCGUGACGUACAUGAAAUUUUUGGUGAUAUAAAUUUCGAGAACUUUUUUUGCAAAAAACUUUAUAGGAUCCUCCGUAAUGAUCUGGAAGAACAAUAUCUAUAACCUCACCAGGACUCACACUAUUUUUUUUAGCAUUUAGGGACCACUCUACAAGAUUAGGCGAUUUUCUCAUUUUUGUUUUUUGUGUUAGUUAAUCGAUCGAAAUUCAUAUCAUUCAAAUAUUUAUGGGCUAACACACACGAAAAAUUGAAAAAUUGACCUAAAUUUUUUUUUUUUAACUAUGUGUAUUAAGACAUCGUUAUGUGAUGGAGUUGGAUAACCAUACCACUUUAGAAGUCUUUUGGUUUGAAUUCAAGUUAUGAUGGGAUUAGUUAUGAAUGGGAUAAGUUAUGCUAAGAUUAUUUUUUAUUGAGUGUUUGGUUUGUUGUAUUCAAAAUAAUAAAUCUUAAGAACAACAUAUAAGUUUACAAAAAUACCCUUCAUGGAUGUGAAAAGUAAUGUAUAAAAAAUGUUUAAAGGGACAUUUUUGUCAUUUUAUCCCGGGAUAAGUUAUCCGGGGAUUACUAUACCACCCAUGGGAAGGGAUAACUUAUCCCGGUACUAAUUAUUAAUCCCGGAAUAAGUUAUUCCGGACUUGCCAACCAAACAACAAAUUAAGUGGCACUAUAAUUUAAUCCCAGAACUAUUUUAAGUUAUCCUUCACACCAAACGACCCCUAAAGAGUACAUAUUAUAAGUAUAAUUAUGGUGUAUAUCUGAAACACUACAACUUCCAACAAUAAUGUCUCUAUCUCUAAAGCUCAAAUCAACCAUCUUUGAGCCUUAAAUCAUCCCAACUAGAUUUAAAAAAAUGAAAGUACACCAUCCAAUUAAUUUUUCACCUCCAUUAAAACUUCAUGUAUACAAUUUUAACUAUAAAUAUUUGCUUUAAUGACCAAUGUGGGAUAAAAAUGAUUGAAAGUAGUCUUACAAUUGUUAUAUGUUCUUUUUGUGAAUGUUGUAUUGAAAAGCUUAUGUCAUUAUUUUAUGAGGACAUAUUUAGGCCAAUAUUAUAAUAACAAAUGUAUAUUUCACUCCUAUUGUUGAAGGAUAACAAAUUUGGACCAUUUCACAAGGUUGAUUAAUAUAUUUGAUCUUUUCCCUAAAUAUAAUAUAAUAUAUUUUUGAAUGAGUUAAUAUGUUGAAUUUAGCUCCUAGUUCUGGAAGGAUGUUUUACAGUUUCUAAAAUAAAAUUCAUAUAAUAAAAGUUACAUAGAAGUAUUAUUCCAAAUUGUUUUUAAAGUUUUAAAAAAAUUACAAUUAUAUAAAAAAAUAUUUUAAAAGUCGAAUCCAUAUAUAUUGUGUGAAACGUAUGGCUCAAAGACAUCUCUAACAAAAAAAUGAACGUGUUAUUCACAUAACUUUUUUUAACGUACUAAAAUAAAAUAGGGAAAAUUACGCGGAUAAGUAAAUAUAUACUAGUUAAUUAGCUAACAUAGCCAUAGUUUGAAUUAAUUACAGCUCGAAGCUUAAUUUUAGUUGUUAUUACGUCAUAUCUCUCCUCUCUCUUGCAUAUCUCCUCAUUUAUACAUAAACAAAUACAAAUUAUACAUAUACAUAUACAAUAUAUGACAGACAUACAAAUACAAUUAGCCUCUCUCCUCCCUCUCCCAAUCUCGCUCACCAUAUAUACAAAUACAUAUGUAUACCAGUUACAUAUACACGAUUAUAUUGCAGAUAUACAUAUUUAGUUCAUCUCUCUCCACUCUAUGCCCUCUCUCGCAUGCCUAUCUCCUCCCUCUCCCAAUCUUGCUCGCAUCUCUCCUCCCUUUCCCGGUCUCGCUCGCCAUAUAUAUAUCAUGUAUAUACAAUUAUUUGACAUAUAUACAUAUACAAUUUGUCUCUCCGCCCUCACUCACUCGCCUCUCUCCUCCCUCUAACACGUAGCUACGAAUCGUAAUUAGCAAACUAUAGCUAUAAAACAUAAUUAAGUUAUUAUUGAAUGGCUAUAAGCGAAAAUUUCCCAAUAAAAUAUCACGUAAACAAAAAAAAAUAUUACACAAUGCAAUACAUAAAAUUUAAUACUAAAUUACAUUAUGCUUCUCAUGAACUUUUGGCUUAUAAACACCAAUACAUGUUUAUGUGUAACACACAAGCAUAAGAACUCACAAGAACAAUAAGGGUGAAGUUUAUAAGGGAACUCAUUUAAUCAAAAGUUUUUUUCCAAUGUUACUUGAAUUCUUCAAAAGUGUUGUUCGUUGUAUGUCAAAUUCUCUAAAAAUAAUAACUUUUUAGAUAAUUUGGCACGAAUGUACAACAUUCUUGAAGAGUUUAAGUAAUAUAAUAUUUAAUUUUAUUUGAUUGGAUGAUUUAACUUGCCUAAUUUCCAUAAAAAUGACAUAAAUAAGGGCAUAAACUUUUGAACACUAUAAUCCAUGCUUAUUUUCUUUGAUCAUUCUUGCAGAUUGAAAAGAAGAAGAAAAACUUGGGCUUCAUGAUCUUCUAAAGUAAACACGAUUUCCUACAAGGAGAGGAAGAUUUCAUGUUAGAUAUUCUACGAUCGUUAAGACAUAUUCAAAAUUCAAAAUUUAAAAUUCAGUCAAUAUAUGUAAUGUUAUCAUUGUAAUACCAACUACAUUUUGUAAAAAAUCAAGAAAAUAAACAAUAUAUGUUUGGACAAAAAAAAAAAAGCUUUAGAGAUUAUUUAUUUAUAAUUUAAUUUUUUUUAAUGAAAAUUUUAACUCCAUCACUGAAUAAUAAGCAUAGAAUUUCUAGAGAAGAGAAAGAACAUAAUUGUGAAGAUUAAUUAUUAGAGAAACUAAAUCCUAGUGAUCAACCAAAUAUCAUGUAUAUUGAUUAGAUAAAAACCCAACAAUUAGUAUUUUUAAAUAAAUAAAAGAGACUGAGGAAAAAUACCUGAAAUAGCUCAUUGUUGGCAAUUGGAGAAUUAAACAUUUUUGGAAUAAUCAAUAUUGACACACACACACUAUAUAGCUUUAUUUAUAGCACCUUCAACUUGAAAAUGAAUUGAUUAAUAUUAGGACAAGUAAUACCUUUUUAUAGGUUCAUUGAACCUGGUCACUCCUCCAUUUGCACUUUAUGUAAGGUUUUAAGUUAUACAUUUUUAUACUGAUAAUUUUUUUAUUAUAAUUGGUAAAUUGUUUAUUUUUUAUAAUUAUAAAUUAUAUAUGUGUAUUUAUAAAUAUUUUCUGAAUAAUCUAAUAAGAUAAAAAUAUCUUACGAUAACGAUGUAUAUAAUUUAAAUUUAUUUUAAAUAUCAAGCCUACCUAAAAUAUCAUGCAUAUGUUAAUUCCCCUUUUGUUUUUUCCCCUCUCAUUUUUAACAUGAAAAGUGAGUCAUAGAGGGACCUUACAGACUGUAUGACCUAACUCUUUUCAAAAAGUUAAUUGGAAUAAUUAUUAAGUAAUGCUGACUCCAAUAUUUAAUUAUUUUUUGUAUUUAUUUUUAUUUGUUCAUUAUAUUUUAAAAAAUGUUAUUUUUAUUAUUAAAUUUGAGAAAUCAAGCGAUUUUUAUCACUUAAUAUUUCUAAUCAUGAAUUUUUAUAUUUAAAAGAGUGAUAUAAUAUAAUUGUCAUUCUAUUCAUUGCUCUUUAAGGAGUGUGCCAAAUCAAUCAUAGAUAAGUAAAAAUAGACGGAGGGGCUAUAUAUUUUUUUGUUGUUAAUGAAAUGACACUUUAAGCAUAAAAAUAACUUUCGGAGUAAAUUUGUUUCAAUAAGUGGAGUGAGAUAUUUUUGAGUCAUUUAUAUUGUACUAAAUAUAUUUUUUAUUCAAUAGAUGAAAGAAAGACAAAUUUAUUGCAAUACGUGAAAAUAAAGUAUUUUUAAUUAAAUAUGUAAUACGUUAAAGCUANNNNNNNNNNNNNNNNNNNNNNNNNNNNNNNNNNNNNNNNNNNNNNNNNNNNNNNNNNNNNNNNNNNNNNNNNNNNNNNNNNNNNNNNNNNNNNNNNNNNNNNNNNNNNNNNNNNNNNNNNNNNNNNNNNNNNNNNNNNNNNNNNNNNNNNNNNNNNNNNNNNNNNNNNNNNNNNNNNNNNNNNNNNNNNNNNNNNNNNNNNNNNNNNNNNNNNNNNNNNNNNNNNNNNNNNNNNNNNNNNNNNNNNNNNNNNNNNNNNNNNNNNNNNNNNNNNNNNNNNNNNNNNNNNNNNNNNNNNNNNNNNNNNNNNNNNNNNNNNNNNNNNNNNNNNNNNNNNNNNNNNNNNNNNNNNNNNNNNNNAUAUAUAUAUAUAUAUAUAUAUAUAUAUAUAUAUAUAUAUAUAUAUAUAUAUAUAUAUAUAUAUAUAUAUAUAUAUAUAUAUAUAUAUAUAUAUAUAUAUAUAUAUAUAUAUAUAUAUAUAUAUAUAUAUAUAUAUAUAUAUAUAUAUAUAUAUAUAUAUAUAUAUAUAUAUAUAUAUAUAUAUAUAUAUAUAUAUAUAUAUAUAUAUAUAUAUAUAUAUAUAUAUAUAUAUAUAUAUAUAUAUAUAUAUAUAUAUAUAUAUAUAUAUAUAUAUAUAUAUAUAUAUAUAUAUAUAUAUAUAUAUAUAUAUAUAUAUAUAUAUAUAUAUAUAUAUAUAUAUAUAUAUAUAUAUAUAUAUAUAUAUAUAUAUAUAUAUAUAUAUAUAUAUAUAUAUAUAUAUUUAUCAUUUAUAAAUGAUCAUAUUUUUAUUUUCAACUCAAUUUAUGAAAUUUUGAGAGCACGGUCUAAUGAUACUUUUAAUUAAAAUGAAAAUAUGAGACCAUGAUUAGAAUUUUAGUAAGUUAUAACAAAUACUAGAUAAAAAUUUAAUAUUUUAUUUACAAACUUAAAUAGUAUACGAUUAGAUAUUAGGUUUGAGUUUAACCUGUUCAAAAAGAUACAUUUCCAAGGUUUAUAUUUGCCAAUUUCAAUUUUUUUUACACAAAAUCCAAAUGGUCGCCAAAACAAGGUGAUUUAAAAGAAUAUCCUUAUAGGUAGUUCAUAGUUGAUUUUGAACUUUUGAUUUCACUCGACGUAAAAUUUUAAAUUCAACUUUUAAUGAAAAGGAUUUUAAAUUUGAGGGGACGGAAUUGGUUAAAAUUGUUCAAAAAUUAUGACGUGACUAUUCUAUAUCAAUUUUAUCAUAUUCAAGAUAAUCAAGUUUACCAUGUCUUAUACCCAAUCAAAGUAACUACUCAAAAUCAACACACUUGAUCAACCACAAAGGAAUCACACUAAAUUUGAGUCACUAUUUCAAGUUAUCACCAGACUUUUCGAGAUACCUAAGACCUUUCUCGAAAAAUCAUUUGAAUCCUUAUCCUUAAAUUUUUUAAGUGUGGUUUUAAAAUAAAGAUUUGAAAAUUUAUGCAUGGGUCAAGCGGAUGCUAUAAUUCGUCUAAUGUAAGUUUCGAGCUAUAAAAGGGACAUUCACAUAAAUCGAUCAAAUCAGAUGUCUCGGAAACAAACCCGGCCCUAGACUACCAAAGCCCACUAAUCAGCCCAAAUUGCUUCCCUCCUCCAACAUAAAUUGAAAAAAAACCCAAACAAAAAAAAUUGGAGGGAAAAUUUUUCAGGGAAAACAAUGAGCAGAAGACGCCACCAAAUCAUCUGUUCCUCCGACGAAGAAGAGGACGGCGACGACGAACCUCAGCAACUCGCCGGCGGCAAUGAAGAAAAUGAAAAUCCUAACAACAUAGAAAUGGAAAUUCUAGAAUCGUCUACUAACUUCGAAUCAGUAACCCUAAAUUCUCCCAUCCAAAACCCUACACCUAAUCAUGAGCCAAACAUCGACGUUUCUGAAGUUAUACGAGCUGCGGAUUGUGGUAUUGGUCGGGUAUUGGAAGGAUUAGGGUUAAGAUUGCGGAGGGAAUGGUUAGAAUCAUGUGUUGGAGGACUUGAAGGAUCAGUAGUAGGAGGGUUUUCUGGAUUGGAUGAUACGACGAAGGCAAAACUUUGUUUCGAGCAGUUUUUGUACUCGGAUAUGAAUUUUUGUGGUGCAGGAUUGCUUCCAAGGGACGUGCACAAGCUGCAUUUGGUUGAUCUUAAAGGACCCUUUGUUCUUCAGGUAUAGUAAAAAUCUAAAUGCUGAUGAAGUUUAUCGCUGUUGUGGGUUCAAUAUGUAAUUUUGUUAAAAAAAAAUUAAAGCUUUAUCGGCGAUGAGGUGCUCCCCAGCUAGUACAGGGUAGGGGAGAGUGGAAGUAAGGAAAAUUGGGAAUACCCCUCAUCUCAUACUGCUCUCUUGAUGCAAAAUCUAAAAAUUUAGGGAGGGAAACAAUACAAAAGUUAUUUACACGGAAUCCAAAGUGACAUGCUAUUAUCACUUACUCUUGAGGGCCACCAGUGCUAGAUGUUUGAUAAUUUCUCCUCCUACAUGAAUAUACAGUACGUAGUCUUUCUCUUGCAUUUUUGCAUGGAGGUUGUUUUAGUGCUUUGAAAUCGGUGAGUUACCAUGGAGCAACUUGCUGGGGUGUAGUACAUUUGCAAAACACAUUGGUGAUACUAAAAAAGCCGAAGUUGUUUGUUAAUUUGUCUUUUAUAAAUUGAAUUAGUUCGACUUUCAUGUUUGUAAAUGGAAGGCUAUGACUUGACAUCUUAGUUAAGUUUUGUUUGAAGUAACUUUAUGAAUCAUUUUAGUUGCAUUUCUUUAUAAUGGAAGUACCUAUGUGAAUCUUGACUUCAAUAACUUAUUUAGUUAUCUAAUACAUUGGUUUAUCACAAUAUAAAGCUGGAUGGAAGACAAUAUCUAAUAUGGGUAACCAAAAGGGACGGGGCUUCUUUAAAUGUGCAUUGAGGAGAAUUUAUAUAUUUUAGUUUUGUUAUGUUUUGAGGAAGAAAUUUCUUAAAGAAAGCUCAAUAUUCACAUGGAUGAGUAGCUUAUAUUAUUUUCUUGUUGAUGAAAGUAGCUCAUAAUUUCGUGAACUUCUUAGAACUAUUUGGGAAGGCAUUUCAGGAAUUGGGUUUGCUGAGAAAGAAGUUGGAAACAGGCAUCAGUUAGUUUUGAUAUUAAAGAGCUUCUAUUGUUUUCUCCUUUUUCUCCUCUUAUUUAUUUGAAACAAAGUAUAGUUUCUUCUUUGUAACAUUAAAACUUAAGUGCCAAAUCAGAAAGUUGUGGAGUGAUCAAGAAAACUUCAUUACUUUCUGCAAGCAGUUAGUCAACAGAAAAGUUCCAAAUUUAUUAAAAAAUGUUGAUCUAUCCCCUCAAAAAAGAAGCAAUCGGUGAGAAGAGGCUCAUUCAUGUUCUUGGGUUUGAAAAUCAAAGUUCAUUCGCUUAAUUUCUUUCAUAACAGUUGCUUACUGAAACCAUUUUGGAAAGGUUGGUCGUUAAAUAUGACACUUCUUGCAAUUAGCUUUAAUGUACCAGAAACUUCCUUAAAUUUGGUCAACCUAUACCUUUAAUGUGACUCUGACUAUUCGAGUGUUUCAUCCCCUUCUCCCUCAAGGUAGAUGAAAUUGUGAAUAUCAGUUGUCCUCUUCAAGAUAGGUAUCAGAAAGCAGCUGCUGGAAUAAAGAGGUGUCUGAAAUUGUCCAUGACUGAUGGCAUUCAGCAAGUGUUUGGGAUGGAGUACAGGCCUAUAAAAGAUCUCGAUGUUCUGGCUCCUUCUGGACUGAAGGUAUAUUUAAGGAGUACCAAUUAGCAAUUACCAUGUUGUUUAUUAGUUUGUCAAGUAGCUUUUAAAGUCUUAUUUACAAGAUGAGAAUUGAUAAGAAUAGUAUUUGUCACAAAACUUUUUCCAUAUUCAUAUAGAUUGCUGCUGCAUUUUGCAGGUUGCUAUCUGUAAUGUUCAUGUUAGGCAUGGAAUUCUGAUGUUGGUCCCUGAAGUUAUUGAAGUUCUGGGUGGGAUGGUGGAAGAGUUAGAAGAAGCAAGGAAGCGGCUAGUUAAUGAAAUAAAUAAGCCACCAAGGGGGAAAAGGUAUGACGAAGGACCAAGAAAACAUUUACUGUCUGGACCUAAUUACCAAAUUCUGAUAUUGUUUGUAGAUGCCUUAUACAAGUGUUGUAUUCACUUGAAUGGCAGAGGUUGAUGGUCAGUGCUAGCAUUAGAGGACCCUAACUGACUGGAUAUUGGAAUGUAAUUAAAUGAGGAUUCUAAUAGUUAACCCCAACUAACAUGGAUUAUGGUGUAGUAGUUGAUGUUUAAGUCUCUUCAGGGGGUAUUUUUAAGGGUCAAAUAGAUAUUCUGAUGGUCCUAACUUAAAGGUUAAAGUUGAGAGCUGUUUCUCUGAAUCUUAGCAAAGUAGUACUUUGUCCUCCCCCUUCCCCGUCCAUUUUGAUUUUUGACCUUCUAGUGAAGACUUAAUAUCUGUUGCUCAGUUAUAGGCUUUGGUUUACAAAUGAGUGAAUAAGGCGUAUUGUCAUGAUUUAUUAGUGUUAUGCUAGAAACAACCUCAUCACUUUUGGUGAUUUAGUUACUUCAUCUAUGCCCAAUGCCAGAACAAGGUCUGGAGUGGUUCCUCCUUUGGCAACUAGAGCUACUGGUGCUGCAUGGCCACGAGAAGGUGUUACUGUUCCAGAGCACUCUGAUACUUCCUCAAGACAAAGUAUGCAUUUUCAGGUUCAUGAACGAGGUACUUUGACACCCUAAAGAUCUUCUUUGCAAUUAGUCUAGGAUAUCUGUAUAUGUACUGCAUGUUCAUUUGUUUUUGGUGUUGCUUUCAAUGUGAAAAACAAUUUAUGUGUGCUACUUUGGCUUAUAUGGUUAAGCUGGUCUUCUGACUUUUAGUAUGAGAGAGAAGCUGAUAUUUUGUCAGAUUGCUCCCUUUUGAUGGCUUCUCUCCGCACAAGCUUGUGUUGUUUUAGGGUUUCUUACUAUAGUUUGAGUGUUAGUUUGCAGAACAUUUAUUCCACAGUGAUAUAGCUAAGGUAGUGCUACAAUUGAAAGAUUGGUUUGCAUAUUUAAAUUGGAAUAAGUUCUAGAUAUAGCUUCUUGUAUCAUCUUGUGGUGAACGGUGAUGUCCCUGGUCUUGUUCGUUGGACCACAUGUUUAUUAAUUAAAGAUUGGUAGCGGUCUACCUGUUUGACAAAAGGAAUGGAUCCCAGAAGAAUGGAUUCUAUGUAUUUGCUAAUGAUGUUACUAGCUAUUUGCCGACCCAGGUUUUGUCAUGUUCACAACCAAAGAUAAACAAUUUUGACAACAAAGGUUACCAGAAUAUUUGCCAUAUGUGUCACAAGGCAGCUUCUCUUGAUUCUUUGAGCAAAUUUGCCACAUACCCUAUUAUAUCCUCUUCAGUGCUGUUCUCCCAGUGUUAAAGUUGGUAAUUACUUGAGCUAGACUAUUCUUGUUAGCACCGUGGAUAUAUGAUUGAUACAGCUGACCUGGUUAAUUUGGAUGGAUCAUAGUUGAUUGAUUGAUUGAUUUGUUUCAGUUUCACUUGUCCUAUUCACAUGGACAAAUCUCUAUUGUUAUUAAUUGGUUUUUAUUUAUCUUUGUUGAUAACCUAAACAAACUAAGGCCGUGUAAUUUUAUUUCCUACAUCCAAAAGGAAAAACAGAAAAGAAUCUGGGUGCUGCUUGUAUCUAGAAAAAUCCUUUAGGUGAGACUUUACUCAUUAUUAAAUAUGUUUGUAUGCCAAAGGGCGGGUCACAGACGGAUUUCUCGGUUAUCAAAAAAAAAAAAAUUAAAUAUGUUUGUAUGUUUUUUGGGGGAAGGGUGUGUUUGAGGCAUCGGGGUCUGUAGGUGUCUCUGUAGAUACACCUUGCUUGUUGCUCAAUGGAUGUUGUAGGAGAAAGUAACACACGAUAUGAUUUGAUUCUAUAGAUUAAUUGUUUUCCAGUUUAAGGUGCACCAGGAACUUUAUAAAAAAAAAAAAGGUGUGUGAAAUAUGCCGGACAAGGGGAAAGGGGGUUUUACCUUUUCCACUUAUCACUCAUGGGACAUGUACUGUAAUAACAGACGUAUCUAUCUUUUAAUCUUUCUCUUUGGGGUGCAGGAACAUCUGGUAUUGCUACUUCUGCAACUGAAGAAAUUCAUCCCAUUACAUCUGGGCUACCAUCUUCUACGACAUUCACCACUCCUGUUUAUAGAAGAGAGGCUCAAUCUAAUUUUCCAUCUACUCCAGCUGUUUCUGUCCCAUUCAAUAGGAAGGUUACUGGGCCUACCUUUUCGUCUGAUGCAGCUAGUCAUGCAGAGGAUAUCCAUAUGGCUGACAUGACCACCGAAGGCAUUGAUGUUCCAAUUAGAAGGGAACAUAAUGACCCUGUUCUGUCAUCUUCUUACUCCAUGGAAGUGGAGGAACUUCUGUCAGAUGUUAGAAGUGACCCUGCCACACCUGCCAGUAGCAGGAGCAGAGGAAGCGUCCGUGUCUCUGGCGGUAGUGUCCAUAAUGAAGAUGUAACACCAGAUACAAUGUCUACUGCAGCAAUUGACAUUGAUGAAAUUGAUUUGGUUGAUGAAUUGGACCAUCCAUAUAUACUUUCUGGAGGGAAGGAAAACCCUUUCACUUACUUAGCUAGUCUGUCAGCUAAGCAGGCUGGUAUGAAUGGCAGUGCUUCCACUGUUACAGGAAAAAUUAAGGUAACUUUUGCUCUCCCUCAUGAUAUCAACUUCUCUGAUGCUGCCAUAUUGAGAAUUCACUGUGCCCCCUCUAUCUUAUCCUUAGUAAUUGGGUCUUCUUUCCACUUGGCUGUAAUUUGUAUGGGUCAAUUGGAGAUACUGGCAAGCAGAAUAAUCUCAAUAAAUUAAUCUAAUGAAGAUAGAAGACUGAAAUUCCAAUGGCAAAUUGCUCAAGUAGGAAUGGAUUUUUUCUUAAGCCAAUGGCAAAUUGCGAAAAACCCCAUUACUGGCAUGCCUCUUCCUAGCAGCGUACUUUUAUGCAUAUCUGGUUCAUUUGCUAUCAUUGUGCCUUGUCUUGACUUUUGUGCAUUUAGCGUUGGUAAUUAGCCAUUGCGAUUAAGAUUAUUUUAAUAUCGUGUUUUGUCAUUCACAAUACAAAACAGUGAACUCUAUUGUUUUUGUUUUUUAGUGCAAAAAGUUGGGAUUACGGAGUAGAAUUAUCUAUCAUGUUAAUAAGAAACUGAUAUCUGCCUUAAAUCUGCAGUGCUUUCUUACUGGUGUGAAGGGCUUUCAGUAUAAACAGAGUAGUAAAUACGAGCUUCGAGUUUAUGUUGAUGAUGGCAGCCUAAUCUCUGAGAUCCUUAUAGAUCAUGCUGUAAGUUAUUGAAGACUGGACCCUGACUGUCAGAAUCUGGUUAUUGUUUAACUUUUGUCUGCUUCAGCUUGUGCAGAAAAAAAUAGGCUUUUCUCCUGCAGAGGUAAAUGCUGCUCUUAGUUCUUCAGAUAGCAAACGAGUCAGUGACACGAAGGAGACACUGAAAUGUUUCCAGAAAUUCUUGAUUAAUUUUGAGGUAUUUCACUGCUAUCCAUGAAGGGAAUUUUGUUGAUAGAAAACUCAUGAAUCUUCUAAGUUCAUAUUUGUUUGUUGGAUCAGUGCAACUACAUCUCUCCAAGUGAAAAAUAUGUGUCCAGGAAUAGGUCUUAAUGGCAUGACUAUGCAUGUGUUUGAUGAAUAAACUGUGUCAACCCCAAAUUAUUAAUCCUUUUAUAAAUCACAAGUACAUGAAUCAUGAAAAAAUAAUAGAAUACAAAUGAUUAUUUCUAUGAUUAAGAUCCUCGUAAAAUUAGUUCUUCAUAAAUAUGCUCUGUGCAUGAAAAUGUCUUGGGCAAUGUGUCUUGCAGGGAACAAUGCUUGUUCAUUUGAAUGAAGAAUCUCCAAUUCCAGUUGCUACUGAAAUGAACCAGGGGUGUUCUGCCUCUGAUGCAUGGUUGCUUCUCAAAAGACUAAAGCCUUCUACUUCUCCGCGACAACAUCAUCUUCAUCACCCAGAAACCAUCAAUUUAUCCCCUUGAUGUCUCGUUCGUUCUCUGGAGAGAUUCAAAACCACGAGAGCAAGGUGAGUUACACAUGACAUUGCUAUGGCGUAAAUGCAGAAAUAGUUCACCUUUGAUUCAAACAAUGAAAUGACUUCUCAAAUUGCAUAGCCAGGGUGUAUGAGGGGGGUCCAUCCUAACCUUCUUCCUCGGAAAAUUACAAUGUACAUAUAAGGUCAAUUAGCUAGAUUCAUUUUGUUUUUCUGUUAUUCGUCUUUUUUCUCUUGAAGAUUUAAGAAUUUUAAUUACUAUAUAUUAACUAGAAAUUCUUUUCGAACAUAGAUUUUGAAGUCUAUUUGAUAUAUUUAGUUCCUUUUUUCCCCUUCCCUUUUCUUGAUAAUUACUUUCAAUUUGAUCGUGUAGCUAUUCUUCUUUUAUCUUAAACAAUGUAAUUUUGAAAUCCUUAAUUGAAUUAUAAUGUCCAUUGUACAAUACAUUUAUUACUUCUUCCAGUCCUAUUUUAAUAUAUGAUACAUUUUCCAUUUUGAGACGUCUCGUAUGUUUUCAUUCUACUAGGAGUAAUAAUAUACCUUUUCCGUUUUAAUUUGUUUGUCUAACUUUUCUUUUUAGUUUGUUAAACAAAGAAUGUAUAUCCCUUUUCGGUAACUUUUUGAUUCCAUUAAAUCAUAUACUUAAUACAUUUUCCAUUCCAUAUCAAGUCAAAAUAGGAAAAACAAAUUGAAAUAGAUAAAUAAAUAUUACUCUCUGUUCCAAUUUAUGUGGCAUUUUUCGAAUUGAGAUUCAAACAAGUUUAUUUUUUAUCGUAAAUUUUUCAUAUAUCUUUUAAUUAUUUUGAAUUGUUAAUUAUUGUGACUUAUAAUACUUUUUACGUAAUUUACAAAUAUAUAAAUUUAUGUUGUUACUUCAGUACUUAUAUUUGUGAUAAAUAACAAAUAUCUAGUGAAAUAGUUGACGUUCACAAGUUAAUUCAAUUUAAGCUUUCCAUUUUGCCUUUAAUAGUAAAAAUAUUCUUCUAGUCAAUCAUGUAUAACAUGUCUAAAAGUCUAAUAAUCAUAUAAGUAUCAUAUCACAUUUAAAACAAAUAAAAAAAAAUUAUUUAAAAAAAAAAUUAUGCUUAAUUAAAUAAGUUCAUAUGAAUCAAAACGAAAUAAAAAUAAACACUUUUGCAAAUUGAGGGAAGUGAUGAAAAGCAUGAAUUAUAGAAAGAGAAGAAAAAGUGUGGACAAAGAAACCCCCAAAAAAAUAAUAAUUGAAGCAUAGAGCUUACAAGUCGCUACGAAAUAAAAGGUAAGUCCUAUAAAUAUUUGUUGCCAACUAUUCCUUUCUAAACUCUCUCACUUCUCUCUUCAUUCUCAUAACUUUUUUCUCAUUUCCACACUUUCAAAUCUCUUACUUUCUCUCUCUAGCUUCUUGAAAAAACUAAUAUCCUUUGUCUAUACAAGAACAAUAAAAAAAGAAGAGUUUUUGGAGCUUAUUUUUCAACCCAUAUUGAUCAUUGAGGAUAUAAAAGAAAGAAAACCCCGUUAAAAAAAUUUGUGAGUUAUCUCUUUUUAUACAAAAAGUUUAUAUCUUGAAGCACGAUAACAAUAUUUCGUAUCUAUUAGUUCCUCCAAUGUUUGUUAUUGACACUUGUUGAGACAGACAAAGUAAGAAUUAUUUUUGUUAGACAAGUUAUGAAUAGUACCAAGGGAGUUGAUUGAUAUGAAUCUCUUAUUUUGUAAUGAUGCAUAUUGUUAAUUAUUAUUAAUUGUUAUGUUUCGCUUUCUAUCUCUGUAAAAGGUAAUCUUGACAUGCAAACUUUGAAACACUUAUAUUAUUUCUUACUAAUUUAAAUUCCUUUUUUUUUUUUAAUUUGUAGGAAUAUUUGAAAAGGAAAAUCUUGAUGGCCCCAAGUGGAGGAGGAGUGAAUAAAAACAACGGGACAUCAAUAUCGAGAAAUCAUAAUGGAGGAGGAGGAGGACUAGGGGCAAGACAGUUAAAAAAAGGUCCAUGGACAACAACGGAAGAUGCGAUUUUGAUGGAGUAUGUGAAGAAACACGGAGAAGGGAAUUGGAACGCGGUUCAAAGAAAUUCGGGUUUAAUGAGAUGUGGGAAGAGUUGUAGGUUAAGAUGGGCGAAUCAUUUGAGGCCUCAUCUAAAAAAAGGUGCAUUUUCUUUGGAGGAAGAAAGGCUUAUUGUGGAACUUCAUGCAAAACUUGGAAACAAAUGGGCUCGUAUGGCUGCUCAGGUUUGUUUAUUUAUUCUUCGAUAAGAAUUAAUACGAUUUUAUGGCUCUUCAUCUUCUUAUGAACGCGAUCUAAACAUUAAUUAACACAUAUAUAAAAAAAACAGAAUUCAUGAUUCAAAAUCUUGGUUCUAAUUCUUCUAUCUCUUUUUUAAAUACAAUUUGUGUCUAACUCAGACUAUAUAUUAACUAGCUGAAUUCAUUGAUUCAAAAUCUUGAUUCUCAUCUCCUUUUUCCGACACAAUUUGUGACUAACUCAGAUUAUUUGAAAAAAGUCCUUCUCAUUCAUCAUCAUCAAUCGACUGAUUAAGCGUAAAUCUGAAUUAAUCGGAUCAAUAGAUUUCAAAGAUUGUCACACAUCAACGUACAUAUCUAAUAUCAUAUUGUGUGGUACUCGUAAAUAAGCUAUAUUUACCACCAAAAUAUAUGCAAAAUCGAUUUUGAUCCAAAAAUCUUUAAACUUUUAUAAUCUUGAAUCUGUCUACGUCAACAUCACUAGAAUUGUGUUUCAUCAACUUUUUUGUACUUAUUAAUGUCAAAUGUACUAAUUAUUUCUUUUUAUUCUUAUUUUACGUACACAGCUUCCCGGUAGAACAGACAAUGAGAUCAAGAAUUAUUGGAACACGAGGCUAAAGAGAAGACAAAGAGCUGGAUUACCAAUAUACCCUCAAGACAUACAACCACAAAAUUACCAACAAGACCAAAAUCAACAACAACAUAGUACUAAUAAUAUCCCUUCACCAUUUGAUAAUCAUCAAAACUCCAAUUACAACAAUAAUUCCCCUCUUUCCCUUUUAGAUAUCUUCAAUCCUUCAACAAUGAAACCUAGUAGAAACAUUAUUCCACAUCAAUACCAAUUCAACAAUAAUCCUAGUUCUCCAUUUCUCACAAACACAAAUAAUAUCAACAACCAAGUCAAGUUUUUUCGCGACCCUCGCGUUAGCCUUUCUCUAACUUUAGCAUCAUCGAUGAAGAAUUCACAACUUUCUUCAAUGGUAGCACCCGUGCCCAAUAAUUUUAGUCAAGGUUAUUCUAGUUCAAUGCCGGUCCCACCACUUCAACACACCUAUCCAAAUUUUACCACAACUACUAGACCUUAUACCGCGAUUUCCUCAAACCCUAAUGGUUUAAUCUUAGGUAUGCGCGCCUUAGCCAAAUAAAUUUAAUUUGUUCAUAUUUGUUAAUUCAUUUCAUAUUUUCUCAAUUGUACUUGUAUUUUCACCAACAGGUAUGGGCAUAGAGCAUCGUUCAGUCCAAUCGUCUGUGCCUAGAAAUACAAGUACAUUAAGUGAUCAUGCUGAUAAUAAUUACGCGGUUAAUCAUGGAUUAUCACGAGGAAAUAGUGGAUUAUUAGAAGAUUUAUUGGAGGAAUCUCAUACUUUAACAAGAGGUGAAAAAAUUGAGGAAAAUUGUCCAAUUAAUGAAAAUGAAGAUAAUAAUAAAGGGAAAUUAAUUUGGGAAGAAUAUGGAUUAACAGAAGAAGCAGCAGAUGCAAUUUUAACUGAAGAAUCAACAUAUAAUUUUGCUCAUAAACAUUCUGAAGAUUCAAGUUCUCCCAAUUCAUCCUCAGGUAAAUUCUCCAUUAAUUUUAAAUCGGAUUUAACUUAUAUACACAUGAAAAAAUGGAAAAUUACGAUAGAGCUCUAAUUGGAAUUUAGCUUGUCGGGAAAUUACAUUGUGCAAAUAGAGUAAAUAUAUAUGAUCUUUUUUCGUUAUAUCUGAUCUGUUGAAUUUCUUUGACAUGAAGAAAAAUUCAAAUAUAGUGAUAAAGGGAUUCAAAAUUGAUUUAGGUCGUAUGUUCUAAUUACAACUGACAUUCUAGAAUUUUUUUGAAUUCCCUUAUAUAAAUUUCUGAUUCAAUGAUAGAAAAUUUCAAAAAUACCUGUCAAUAUUUCACAUUUUUAGUAUUGUAAAUUGUCAAACUAAGAAUAAUAAUAUAGAAAGUUACCUAUUGUCCUAGUUAGGUUAUCUUAAGCUAUGAUAUAUAUUAACUUAUGUAAACUUACUUAAUAUGUUUAGUCUUUUUUUUAUACCUCAUGAGUUUAAGUUCUAUAUAUUAACGAUGUAAAAAUUAUUUAUUUAAUUAAAUCAUAUUAAAAUGUAUUGAAGGUAACUCUAUUUAUAAGAAUUUAUUUCUAACCUAUUAUUGUAAAUGGUAAGUAACCUACUUAUAUAUAUUAUAACAUGCUAAAUGAGACUUGAAGUAAAAUUAUUUAUCAUGGUAUAUUACUUAUCUCCCAACACACACAAGAAAAGUUAGAAUUAACUAUUAACUUUGUCGUUGAUUUAUUUCUGAGUCUAUCAUAGUUAACAUAUUCUCUUUUCUUUUUUUUUUGGGAUAAUUUGUCGUUAAAAAGAGUUAACGAUAAAUUUUAUUAUUUAGCUACAUAAUUUGUCUGUUGCUGAUUUUUUUUUUUUUUUAAAUUGUGUAGUAAUGUUACUUUUAUUUUCUUAUAUUUAAUUCAUUUUAGAAAUUGAAUAACUUUGUAUUAAUGUUUUUUUUUUAUAUAUAUAUAUAGGGAUAACAACAAAGGAAGCUUCAUUAGAGAAUAUGGGUAAUCAAGUAGAUGAUGAUAUUAUGAGAUUUCUUGAUAAUUUUCCACUUGGUGUACCUGUUCCUGAUUGGUGUGAUGAUCAACAAAAUACAUCUAAUGGCCAAUCUUUUGAAUGUGACCAAAUUCAAUUGUCCUCAAAAUCAAGUUCAUGAAGAUUCAAAAUCGCAGAUUUGAAGUUUAUCAGUUUCUCAUACAACAAUCAGUCAAAUAGUUAUAGAUGUUUAGAAAAAUUCUUAAUACAUAGACGAGAUCUGUGUGUGGGGUACAUGUGAACCCGUAAGUUACAAGCUAGAUCCGUCUCUUUGAGGAUUAUCAAGAAUAGGAAAUUGGAGCAUGUUGUUGGAUUAACAUGCCUUUUUUUUUAGUUAAUUAAAAGUAGUCAAGACAUUUAUUUAUAUUCAUAAAUUUACCAUUAAGUAAAUAUCAAAGAUUGCAAGUUGUUAAUUCUUUUAAUUUACUUUUGCUUUAGGUUAAUAUUUAGACUGAUUAAUGAUAAUUGGUCAUUGAUCAAUUGUCUUGGCUUUAUUUGUUGUGAUGAAACAAAUAAACUUCUUGUUUGAGUAACAUGUCUAGUUUUAAGACGUGUUUAACUUUUAUAAAUCGAUAAUUUUUUUACUAUUGGGUAAUUUGUAAGAUAAUUAUCUAUAAUAAGUAAAAUUAAUAACAUGAAUAUUAAGACAAGUAAGCUCUUUGCAGCAAGUUUUGUCAUCACAAAUCAAUUUUUUUGUGAUGACUAAACUUGCUACAAAAAGCUCCGAAAAUAAUUACCACUAAUAAUGGCAAUUCUAGGAUGGUUGGUAGUAGAUGGUAGGGUUGGACAUGGUACGAUAUGUUACGGUAUUAAAAAAUUUGUUUGAUAGUUUAGGUUUUUGGUUUUUAAAAUACUAUAGUAGAGUAAUUCAGUAUGGUUCAAUAUUUUUAAGUUUGAUUUUGAAUUUUUCACGAUCGAUAUAAUAAAUAGAUAAUCAUAG
rnacentral:lncRNA from 1 species